rnacentral:rRNA from 1 species
GAUGAACGCUAGCGGCAGGCCUAAUACAUGCAAGUCGAACGGUGUCUUCGGACAUAGUGGCGCACGGGUGCGUAACACGUAUGCAACCUACCUUACAUUGGGGGAUAGCCUUUCGAAAGGGAGAUUAAUACCGCAUAAGACAGUAGCUGGGCAUCCAGCAGCUGUUAAAGAUUUAUCGAUGUAAGAUGGGCAUGCGUCCAAUUAGUUAGUUGGCGAGGUAACGGCUCACCAAGGCUUUGAUUGGUAGGGGAACUGAGAGGUCAAUCCCCCACACUGGCACUGAGAUACGGGCCAGACUCCUACGGGAGGCAGCAGUAGGGAAUAUUGGGCAAUGGACGCAAGUCUGACCCAGCCAUGCCGCGUGCAGGAUGAAGGCGUUACGCGUUGUAAACUGCUUUUAUACAGGAAGAAACGACUCUUGCGAGAGGCAUUGACGGUACUGUAUGAAUAAGCACCGGCUAACUCCGUGCCAGCCGCCGCAGUAAGAC